ACCACUUCUUGGUCUUUUAGCUAAAGUCAGGUGUAGUAUCUGUUCCAAGAUUUCUGGAGCAGGGAGAUGGAACAGAAGCUCGCUUGGACCACUCCAUGUAUUGACUGGGUAUUGCAGUACCUCUAUGAACUGUGCACCAAGA
ensembl:snRNA U2 U2 spliceosomal RNA